rnacentral:lncRNA from 1 species
CUUUUGGAGAUUUAUUUACAGAACAGAGGAUUCAUUACUUUUGUUUUUGGUUUUGGGUGCAAACUUGUUGUCUGCAGAGACUGUCUUUGACACUGCUUCUGGGUGUGACACGUGACUUCAGGCAAGGGGGAAGGCUAUCUAGCUGGACAUUUGGAAUUACGCUGUAGCAGAGGAGAACAUUACACCAGCCUCUUGAGUGCUAUAUGCCUAUUCAUGGACAAACUAACGCUUUUUUAAUGAGAGUUUCUGAGGUUGCUAUCCAAACUACAUUCCUUAUCCCAGAUCUCAUCCUUAGCACAACUCCCAAAGGUAUUUGGGAGUUUGGAUGCAGACAUAUAUGUGAAUCCAGGGCUCGAUCAGGUCUCACUGAAGUCAAUAACAAUAUAGUUGUUGCUGAAGAGAUAUCCAUGAGGCUCAAAGGAGAAGUAAAAGCCAUCCAAGAAAAAGCGAGAGAUGAAUUACAGGUUCUUCUUUUCAUCAAAACACACCUUACACUUCUCUGUCUCUCUCCCCCUUUUAAAACAGAAAAUCAACUCUUUCAACUUUAUAGCUACUUUAAAAUAACCGAGAAAAUAUUUAAAUUUGAAGAAAUACUGAAGAGUUCUGGAUGGAUGCCCAAAAAAACGUCAAGUGACCUUCCAGAUAUAGGACUGCAUUUUGGAAUUUACCAACUCCGGUGAAGAAUUUUUGGUGAUGGCAAACUGCUGAAGGGCAGUAAAACAAGCACCGGGAAUCCGAGCAACG